UACUUUUUAUUUUUUACUUGAUAUAAAUACUAGAGACAUGAGAAUAGAUCCUUUACUGUUCAUGGUCUUAAAGUCAGCAGUGGACAGCUUUUUGUCUGAGACUAUUUCUUGGAUAGGUGCAGUAAAUUUUCUUAUAAAUUCCAGGAAGUUACUGUGAAUGAGCAGGAAAUAGUCUGCCUCAUAACCACUGAUACAAUAUAAUGUUUUUACUUGACAGAUUGUGUACUAUAGAAGUAAUGAUACGGUCAUUUAUGAGUUUAUGUUAUGCUUUAUGUUAUCUUUAGACUGAUGCAGACCCAAAGGGAACCUCUGAGGCUGCCGUGCGAAGCCAUCAUGAAUGUGUCAAAAUCUGGACUUCCUCUAAUGUCACACCAGAGUAAAAAUAUGACUUCAGCCUCUUUACGAUUAGUACAGCUCCACAUCCAGGUGAGAGCUAGUCAAAAGGAUGCUAACCGUCUAUGUCCAGCAGCAGUUUGUAUUCAGCAAAAAGAAAGAGUGAAAAAUAAACAGUGGAAAGAAGAAGGGGAGGACAGAACGAUUGUACAAGAGCAGGAACAACCAGGGAACAAAGUGAGCUGAAGUUUUACCAUCCCAUCCCACAACCAUCUACAUUUUGUUUCUCCAAGCCGACAUAAGACAUCAGGGCAGGCAACACCUUGGACAAGUUGUCAAUUAAUCACAUAGAGUACAAACAGACAACCAGUCAUCCCCGCAGCCAGUUAAGAAUCCCUAAUUAACCUAACUUGACUAUGAGGUGUGGGUGGAAGCCAGAGUACCAGAAGAAAACCCACGCAGUGACGGGAAGAAUGAAGAACUCCAAAGCCUUCCUGCUGUGAGACCCCCACCCCCAGUCAUAAACUGUCCCAACUUUAGCAGUACUAGCCUCUAAUGGUUUCAUAUUCUAGAAACUUCCACGGGGAACUAAUCUACAUUUUGAUGCCAGGCUGCAGCAGUUAUAGAUUUCAGAUGUUUUGCCAGUUUAAUCUACUGAGGGAUAUUUACUAUUUAUUUGUCUACAGUGGUGUCUGCAUUCGUGUUUAUGGUCUUUUGGUUAGUCCACCUCUUUUUUGUUAACUACUAAACAAAUUACUGGAGAUUAAUGUCUUAGUGUAGAUGAAUGCCCCAGCUGCAUUUGCAUUUAGCCUCACCUUAACCUCAAAUCUCUAUUUUGACCAUUUAUUGCCACAAAAUAUCCAUCCAUCCAUUUUCUACUGCUUAUGAACAGCAGUCUAACCAGAGAUGCCCAGACCUCCCCUCCCUGAGUCAUCUACAGGGGAACAAUAACAAGCUCCUAAGGUCGUAGAGACCAAAUCUCUCUCGUCCUGGGCAGGCAUGAUUGUCUCCUUCCAGUUGAACACGGUCAAAACACCUCACCCAGGAGAUUUCCUGGAGGGCUACUUUCCAGAUGUUUGAACCAUUAAAAUAUCUGCAAAAGGACUCCAAACAAACAAGCAUUAGUCCAAACUGUGCUGUGUGUUUAAUGUUUAUUAGAACGUGUUAGUGUAAAGCUGCUAAGCAUUCCUUGUAAGGAAUGACGCUCCUUGUUUUUAUUCUCUAAGUAGCUUUGUUUCACCCAGUUCAAUCAAAUUGCUUAUUUAUGUAACGCUGGGUUUUAGUGCAGUCUCUUAAGUUCAGCCUCUGUCUGAAAGAACUGUUUUGGCCACUGUCCCUUUAAUGCUGUGUUCCAUUUGAAGUGGGAUGCCAGAAAUCCCAACUUCUGAGUCAGAAUUUCCGGGUGGAAUGCCGAAAGUUGGAUUUCCUACUUUGCAAGUCAGAGAAGUCCCACCAAUCCUGAUUUCACAAACCCAACAUGAUAACA